CCCUUAGAUGUUCUGGGCCGCACGCGUGCUACACUGAGUGGAUCAGCGGGUCAGGUUACGCGAGAGCGUUUCCUAAUCUUCAAAUCCGCUCGUGAUGGGGAUUGACGGUUGCAAUUUUCCGUCAUGAACGAGGAAUACCUUGUAAGCGCGGGUCAUCAUCCCGCGCUGAAUACGUCCCUGCCCUUUGUACACACCGCCCGCCGCUCCUACCGAUUGAGUGGUCCGGUGAGGCUUUGGGAUCUAAGCGAAAAGAGCGUUUCGCUCCUUUUGCUGGGAGAACUCAGUCGAACCUUAUCAUUUAGAGGAAGGAGAAGUCGUAACA
rnacentral:rRNA from 1 species